GCGGGCCCUUGGCCAGCCUUGUGAUGUACUGCAGAGAAGUCACAGGGUUGUGCCUGAGGUCUGU